rnacentral:pre_miRNA from 1 species
AAUGGGUUAGCUGGAUCAAAUGGUGGUUCCAUUUCAAAUUUUCCAAGGAACCUCCACACUGCUUUCCAGAUUGGAUGCACCAAUUUGCAGUCCCACCAGCAAU